rnacentral:rRNA from 1 species
UACGUAGGGAGCAAGCGUUGUCCGGAAUCACUGGGCGUAAAGGGCGCGUAGGCGGUUCGUACAGUCAGACGUGAAAUUCCUGGGCUCAACCUGGGGGCUGCGUUUGAUACGUGCGGACUUGAGUGCGGAAGAGGGUCGUGGAAUUCCCAGUGUAGAGGUGAAAUUCGUAGAUAUCGGGAGGAACACCAGUGGCGAAGGCGGCGAUCUGGGAAGAUACUGACGCUGAGGUGCGAAAGCGUGGGGAGCAAACAGG